GCUUACUAAAGGAGCCAGCACUUCCUCAUAGGAGAGCACAGACGUUUGUAUAGCAUGGGAAAUGUCACUUAUGGUUACAUAAGGUCUAAUGACUGAUCACCGCGACAGGCUUGAUGAUAAAAACAUAAUGGAAGCUUUAUAAAGUGAGGGUUUGAACCCAGCCUUAUAAUGCAGAAGUGAACCCAGCCUUAUAAUGCAGAAGUGAACCCAGCCUUAUAAUGCAGAAGUGAACCCAGCCUUAUAAUGCAGAAGUGAACCCAGCCUUAUAAAUGCAGAAGUGAACCCAGCCUUAUAAUGCAGAAGUGAACACAGCCUUAUGACAUGUGCA